AUGGCUUUAAAGGUUGAGACAAUCCUUCUUGUCAUCGUUUUCGGUGCAAUUCUUUUGGAAGGCAAUCUGAAAAUUGUUGAAGCUUGCCCCCAAUUUUGUGACGAUUCAGCUGCAUACAUGAUUUGUCCUUCUUCAGGAAAUCAACACCUCAGUCCACCAUGCAACUGUUGUUUUGCAUCGACUGGUUGUACAAUUUACAAAGCCGAUGGAACUUCUCUUUGUACUAAGAAUUGA
rnacentral:lncRNA from 1 species